UGCUGUCUCUAUCCAUUCUGGGUUUUAUUUCUCCCCUUCUUUUCACAUUGUUUUGUAAUUCACGUACAUUAAGAUCUAUUCAACAGGGUUGUCAAUUACCAAAAUUAUACCUAUUAAAAUCUUGACCUGGAUUACUAUUAUUCAUUUCAGCCACUUUCUAUUAUCUGUUUAUGACAACAUGAUACUGUUCUGCAGGCUUAUUCAUAGUACUUAGAGAAGCAUAAAUGUUUUGCUGGUGGUGAGUUAGGCAGGAGUUUGGCAGUACCGCUCUGCUUGCCAGCUGCAGCAGGUGUGCUGUGCUGUGGUGCAUUCUGUGUGGACAGAAUAACAAUUACUGCCAAUAAAAAUAUAGAAAGCACAAGAGGUUGUGCAGUACAUUUAAAUGACAAUACUGAAACCCUUUCAAAGGCUGUGCAGCUAAUGUUCUUGGAAACAAAGCCCUUUGAAACAUGCACACAUGCCCUGACACAAGACCCGAAGUUUUGCUUCAGCGUGAUUCUGAGAGGGUUUCCUCACUCCAAACCUCUCCACCUGCUAUGGCUGCAGCCACUGCAGUUCUUUUCAGUCCAAGAUAGCACCUGAAAGAGACUGAGAAAGAGAACAGCAAAGCAUGAUGUGCUGAGAACAGCAUCAUGCUGUGAUGACUAGUCGAGGGCCACUGCUGCUAUGCCACACCAGGCCCGCAUGCUGCCACAAGCCCUUUCUGAGACAUGCAGGGAAAAUGUAGCCAUUCAAUCACCCAGCAGUUGAAGAAAACAACACCGAGGACUUCUAAAAAGGUUUUCCUACUGUCAGGGACCAAAGGACAGAUUCAGCUCCAGAAAGAAGGAAGAUUCUGUAAGCUCAGUCUUCCAGGUGGAAGGCAGAAACUGACAUCGCUUUAUCAAGAAAUUCAAAGCAAAGCCAAAGGCAUAAGCUGAUUUUGAAGAUGACAAGAUAUUAACAACAACUUGACGUUCCGCAGGUGACUGCUGUAGCAGCCACGAGGCAUGCUACCUUCAAGGACAAGGAGGAUCCAGUGGUUUGAAGGGAAGACCUAUGAACAUGUAAGCAUCAGUCCCCUUCAGGAAGAGAUACAGUUGCAGGUGUUAGAAAAAAAUUGCAGGACAGGAUAGGGAGCUGCUAACUAAAUAUUUAAAUAUUAUUUUAAAUAUCAUCAGACUGGAAGCCCCCCCAGUCUAAUCCACACUGCCAGCGGCUCGGCUUCCACACACAGAACAGCAAACUCUUGAACUUUAGAGUGCCAAGGUCAGGAAAUGCUAUUUGCAGCCAAACCCAUCAAUAUUACUGGCAGGUAGAGCAGGUAUACACGCAAUAGUUGAAUACACACUUAACAGAGUGUUUGCUCUACCUCUCAGGGAUUUUUUUUUUUCCCCGAGAAUCUGCCAAAAUCUUCAGAAAAAGCCAGAAUUUCAUAAACUUGUGUUUAAAAGAAUUUUACUCUUUUUUUCCAGAGUUCAGCCACACUGGGUAACUUACAAAUGGAGUAGAAGAACUACAAUGGUGUUAACUGAUCACAAAAUGGAUCUUUCUGUAGUCAUUUUAUUGUCCCGUGUUUAUGUCCAAAAUCCUAAUCUUAUUUUAGCAUAAUAAGCAGUGAGAUGGAUUUGCUAAGAUUAGUCUAUGUGAAAAUGAGAUGUUAAGGUGUUUACUAGCUAAGGAUUAAAGAUAUUUAGAGAGCUGCUUUGAAAUGUAGUUUUUAAAGGAUGCAUUUGUUUGCUAAACAGUUCUUAGUGGCAGCUGGACUAAAAACCAAAGCUGAAGGGAUUUCCUUUCAAAUUCAAAGCUUUAAGGCUUCAGUUGGAGCCUUAACAAUGCAUACACAGAAAAGGGAUUUAUUUUCAUCUUUAGUGCAAAUAUACUCCCUAGAAAGGAAAAAAAUGGUGUCAAAAAAGCAACACUUGUGGCAUAAGAAACCACACGAGCUUCUC
ensembl:lncRNA